ACACUCCUGCGGGAGGCAGCAGUGGGGAAUAUUGCACAAUGGGCGCAAGCCUGAUGCAGCCAUGCCGCGUGUAUGAAGAAGGCCUUCGGGUUGUAAAGUACUUUCAGCGGGGAGGAAGGCGAUAAGGUUAAUAACCUUGUUGAUUGACGUUACCCGCAGAAGAAGCACCGGCUAACUCCGUGCCAGCAGCCGCGGUAAUACGGAGGGUGCAAGCGUUAAUCGGAAUUACUGGGCGUAAAGCGCACGCAGGCGGUCUGUCAAGUCGGAUGUGAAAUCCCCGGGCUCAACCUGGGAACUGCAUUCGAAACUGGCAGGCUAGAGUCUUGUAGAGGGGGGUAGAAUUCCAGGUGUAGCGGUGAAAUGCGUAGAGAUCUGGAGGAAUACCGGUGGCGAAGGCGGCCCCCUGGACAAAGACUGACGCUCAGGUGCGAAAGCGUGGGGAGCAAACAGGAUUAGAUACCCGUGUAGUCCCAU
rnacentral:rRNA from 1 species